rnacentral:rRNA from 1 species
AUGACACACAAAGCUGAUGCCCCUUUCUUGAAUACCCCAAUUGAACACUAUCAUGCUACGGUGACCAUCUUUGGGACAACCGUGGCUUCGGGGAUGAAUGCUAGGUCUGGGAAUGAUCUACUUUCUAUUGAUGUGGAGGAUGAGGAGAAUGGUGAGGUGAACACAUCACCAAAUGUUGCUGAGUCCUCUCACCCCAAAGAACCACCAAAAAAGAAGGCUGGGGUAGUGAAAGUUCUUGAAGAUCCACUAGUUACCACUCUCAAUUAUGGGUUCAAACUUGUGGCUGAUGCUCUUGUAAAGUCUGGGGAUGAUGAUGAUAUACCCGCUGAACUUUGGGAUGAGGUCUGCAAGUUGGGAGAAUUUGAUGAAGAGCACCUAGCCCACUAA